rnacentral:rRNA from 1 species
GGUUAAGCGACUAAGCGUACACGGUGGAUGCCCUGGCAGUCAGAGGCGAUGAAGGACGUGCUAAUCUGCGAAAAGCGCCGGCGAGGUGAUAUGAACCUUUGACCCGGCGAUGUCCGAAUGGGGAAACCCAGUGCAAUCCGUUGCACUAUCGUUAACUGAAUACAUAGGUUAACGAGGCGAACCGGGGGAACUGAAACAUCUAAGUACCCCGAGGAAAAGAAAUCAACCGAGAUUCCCCCAGUAGCGGCGAGCGAACGGGGAGCAGCCCGGAGUCUGAAUCAGCUUGUGUGUUAGUGGAACGGUCUGGAAAGUCCGACGGUACAGGGUGAUAGUCCCGUACACGAAAGCACACUUGCUGUGAACUCGAAGAGUAGGGCGGGACACGUGGUAUCCUGUCUGAAUAUGGGGGGACCAUCCUCCAAGGCUAAAUACUCCUGACUGACCGAUAGUGAACCAGUACCGUGAGGGAAAGGCGAAAAGAACCCCGGCGAGGGGAGUGAAAAAGAACCUGAAACCGUGUACGUACAAGCAGUGGGAGCCUCUUUAUGGGGUGACUGCGUACCUUUUGUAUAAUGGGUCAGCGACUUAUAUUCUGUAGCAAGGUUAACCGUAUAGGGGAGCCGAAGGGAAACCGAGUCUUAACUGGGCGUUAAGUUGCAGGGUAUAGACCCGAAACCCGGUGAUCUAGCCAUGGGCAGGUUGAAGGUUGGGUAACACUAACUGGAGGACCGAACCGACUAAUGUUGAAAAAUUAGCGGAUGACCUGUGGCUGGGGGUGAAAGGCCAAUCAAACCGGGAGAUAGCUGGUUCUCCCCGAAAGCUAUUUAGGUAGCGCCUCGUGAACUCAUCUUCGGGGGUAGAGCACUGUUUCGGCUAGGGGGCCAUCCCGGCUUACCAACCCGAUGCAAACUACGAAUACCGAAGAAUGUUAUCACGGGAGACACACGGCGGGUGCUAACGUCCGUCGUGAAGAGGGAAACAACCCAGACCGCCAGCUAAGGUCCCAAAGUCAUGGUUAAGUGGGAAACGAUGUGGGAAGGCACAGACAGCCAGGAUGUUGGCUUAGAAGCAGCCAUCAUUUAAAGAAAGCGUAAUAGCUCACUGGUCGAGUCGGCCUGCGCGGAAGAUGUAACGGGGCUAAACCAUGCACCGAAGCUGCGGCAGCGACACUAUGUGUUGUUGGGUAGGGGAGCGUUCUGUAAGCCGUUGAAGGUGUGCUGUGAGGCAUGCUGGAGGUAUCAGAAGUGCGAAUGCUGACAUAAGUAACGAUAAAGCGGGUGAAAAGCCCGCUCGCCGGAAGACCAAGGGUUCCUGUCCAACGUUAAUCGGGGCAGGGUGAGUCGACCCCUAAGGCGAGGCCGAAAGGCGUAGUCGAUGGGAAACAGGUUAAUAUUCCUGUACUUGGUGUUACUGCGAAGGGGGGACGGAGAAGGCUAUGUCAGCCGGGCGACGGUUGUCCCGGUUUAAGCAUGUAGGCGGAGGUUCCAGGUAAAUCCGGUACCUUGUUAACGCUGAGGUGUGAUGACGAGGCACUACGGUGCUGAAGUGAUAAAUGCCCUGCUUCCAGGAAAAGCCUCUAAGCAUCAGGUAACACGAAAUCGUACCCCAAACCGACACAGGUGGUCAGGUAGAGAAUACCAAGGCGCUUGAGAGAACUCGGGUGAAGGAACUAGGCAAAAUGGUGCCGUAACUUCGGGAGAAGGCACGCUGAUAUGUAGGUGAAGCCCCUGCGGGCGGAGCUGAAAUCAGUCGAAGAUACCAGCUGGCUGCAACUGUUUAUUAAAAACACAGCACUGUGCAAACACGAAAGUGGACGUAUACGGUGUGACGCCUGCCCGGUGCCGGAAGGUUAAUUGAUGGGGUUAGCGGCAACGCGAAGCUCUUGAUCGAAGCCCCGGUAAACGGCGGCCGUAACUAUAACGGUCCUAAGGUAGCGAAAUUCCUUGUCGGGUAAGUUCCGACCUGCACGAAUGGCGUAAUGAUGGCCAGGCUGUCUCCACCCGAGACUCAGUGAAAUUGAACUCGCUGUGAAGAUGCAGUGUACCCGCGGCAAGACGGAAAGACCCCGUGAACCUUUACUAUAGCUUGACACUGAACACUGGUCCUUGAUGUGUAGGAUAGGUGGGAGGCUUUGAAGCGUGGACGCCAGUCUGCGUGGAGCCAACCUUGAAAUACCACCCUUUAAUGGCUGGUGUUCUAACGUAGACCCGUAAUCCGGGUUGCGGACAGUGUCUGGUGGGUAGUUUGACUGGGGCGGUCUCCUCCCAAAGAGUAACGGAGGAGCACGAAGGUUGGCUAAUCCUGGUCGGACAUCAGGAGGUUAGUGCAAUGGCAUAAGCCAGCUUGACUGCGAGCGUGACGGCGCGAGCAGGUGCGAAAGCAGGUCAUAGUGAUCCGGUGGUUCUGAAUGGAAGGGCCAUCGCUCAACGGAUAAAAGGUACUCCGGGGAUAACAGGCUGAUACCGCCCAAGAGUUCAUAUCGACGGCGGUGUUUGGCACCUCGAUGUCGGCUCAUCACAUCCUGGGGCUGAAGUAGGUCCCAAGGGUAUGGCUGUUCGCCAUUUAAAGUGGUACGCGAGCUGGGUUUAGAACGUCGUGAGACAGUUCGGUCCCUAUCUGCCGUGGGCGCUGGAGAAUUGAGGGGGGCUGCUCCUAGUACGAGAGGACCGGAGUGGACGCAUCACUGGUGUUCGGGUUGUCAUGCCAAUGGCACUGCCCGGUAGCUAAAUGCGGAAGAGAUAAGUGCUGAAAGCAUCUAAGCACGAAACUUGCCCCGAGAUGAGUUCUCCCUGAGACUUUAAGUCUCCUGAAGGAACGUUGAAGACGACGACGUUGAUAGGUCGGGUGUGUAAGCGCAGCGAUGCGUUGAGCUAACCGAUACUAAUGAACCGUGAGGCUUAACCUU